rnacentral:lncRNA from 1 species
AAGAAGAGAAGCCAACAAUGGAGGAGCAACCAGCAACCAUUAUUGAAGAAUUAAAGAAAACUGAUGGGGAAGAUAAGCCUAAAGCUGAUGAACCUAUUCCGGUAAUAGUCGAAGAAGUAAAGAAAGCUGAUGAGGAGCCAACAAUAGAGGAACCACCACCAACCAUCAUUGAAGAGGUAAAGAAAAGUGAUGAGGAAGAGAAGCCAAUAGCUGAUGAGCCAUUGCCCCCGGCAAUUGAAGAGGUAAAGAAAGCUGAUGAGGACCAGAAGCCUAAUGCUGAUGAAAUAUCGCCACCUCCACCCACAACUGAUGAGGAGGAGAAACCAAAAGCUGAGGAACUGCC